rnacentral:rRNA from 1 species
GUACACGCUGUGACUAGCAUAUCAAUAAGCGGAGGAAAAGAAACUAACAAGGAUUCCCCUAGUAACGGCGAGUGAAGCGGGAAGAGCUCAAAUUUGAAAUCUUAAAGGGUUUCCCUUUACGAAUUGUAGUUUAAAGAAGUGUUUUCUGUUGAGGUUUUGGUAAAAGUUCUUUGGAAUAGGACAUCAUAGAGGGUGAGAAUCCCGUAUUUGACCUUUACUUUCAACUUUGUGAUACACUUUCAAAGAGUCGGAUUGUUUGGGAAUGCAGUCCAAAAUGGGUGGUAAAUUUCAUCUAAAGCUAAAUAUUGGCGAGAGACCGAUAGCGAACAAGUACCGUGAGGGAAAGAUGAAAAGAACUUUGAAAAGAGAGUUAAACAGUACGUGAAAUUGUCAAAAGGGAAGCGUUUGACACCAGUGUUGUUUUUCUGAAAAUCAAUUAAAGAACUGUUUAUGCUAAGUUGUUUAGACUUUAUCAGCUAACUGUUUAGUUUUGAGCUUUUCUUUAAUGCACUUUUCAGUUAACAAGUCGACAUCAAUCUCUUUUGCUGUAAAAAAGCUUGAGGAAGGUGGCUUGAGAUUCGUCUUAAGUGUUUAUAGCCUCUUGCCUAUGCAGUCGGAGAGAUUGAGGUCUGCAGCGUAGAUCCUUCGGGGCUAAAUCGCAUUUGUGCUAAGUUAUAGCAUUUUAUAGACAACUUGUUGACUAUGAUUUGUCUUGUAGCUUACUCGCUUAUGUUAUUUUACCUACGCUUAGGAUGUUGAAGAUGUAGCACAUCAU